GCGCGAUUCAUAUCUCAACCGAAAUAUUUGUAAAGCGAUACGAACGAGUUACGAGAUGAAAUCCGCAAUGUUCAAAAACGCGAUUCAUAACACACAUACUUUGAUCUCGUUUUCAUAUCGCUAGUUCGUAUUUGGAUGGCUUGAGUGAAAUGAAUGAAACUAUAUUUUUUUAAUUGCCAGGCAAAAAUAAUAAAUACUACCACUAAUUGUUUUAAAUAAUUUUGUUCCUACAAUAUAUUUUGUUGGAAUUAGUGUCGAUAGCAAGUAUCAAGAAACGGCUUUUUAAUUCAACGUUGAAGAAAUUCAUAACCUGUGGCACUUUUGACAGCCGCCAUGUUUUCUACAUUAAAACAAACAUAACAAACAUUGAUUUUCUUUGCUCAUUUUCGUGUCAACGUAGUUUUUUUGGAAAAUAAGAAGAAAGGAAGUUUAACUAACUUAGAGAAAUACGACUGAGACAUAAUCAUGCCGAUGUGCUUGAGUUGCAGAAGGAGCAACUGCGUUGUGAAAGGUUACGGCUUCAGCCCUCACAAUGAUAGCUGAAGCAAUGAACAGACAGGCUGCAGUCAAUGAGAGGCUUCUUGAGCAGGGGCUCCUCAUAUGGAAAAAGGCUAAUGAAAGGAACAAUCAAGACCAGACUUAAAGUAAAGAUUUUAGCGGCGACGCAGUUGCGCGACCAGUGAAGCUCUGGCUCCGCGACCGGCGUGGAGCGCGCGGUCCACGCGGCGCUGCUGCGGCUGCUGCGCGGGAGGAUCCCGUCCCUGCGCAUGCGCCUGGCCUUCAAUGGCCUCAUGCCUCUCUUCUUCCUCUUCUUCAUGCGACAAUUCAAACAGAGGAGCACCUGUUAUUACUGAUUACCUAAGUUCCUAUAUACAAUAAUAGUUUAAUAAUUGUUAACAAAAUAUUGUAUACAUACAUAAGUAUUAAUAAUUACUUAUACAAAAGGCUAAAAGCAUUUUGUACCAGCCAACCUAUAGGAGAGAAUAUGAGAAAAAUAAUAAGACUUUAAUCUUUGAUUGCCAUUAUCUGUAGCUUUAUUAAGUGGUAAAGGGACCUAAUUACUACCUUUAUUUUUUAGUAUUUGUGAUAAUUCAUAGAAUUUAUUAGUUCAAUAAAAUAUACAUGCAUUACAAUGUGUUUAAUUCAUUAACUUACAAUUUGCACACUGAGGGAAUGUAUAUGCUUUCGGUUAAAUUAUUCUUCCUCAUUCUGCGAGGGCCUCAGGCCAAAACCCACGCCAAUCAAAUAAAUAUCACUAAUACAAGCUUACUAUAAAGGAAAAUUACGAAUUCGGUAAAGAUGGAAACGUAUCUCGUAGGGACGGCUGUCCGGCUGAAAAAUGGCUUGAAGAUCUUGGAGAGAUGUGUACAAGGUCAAUUUCACAGUUUUUUGCAGUAUUUUUUCUGAAAACGAUCUAACAAUUUCACCCUUUUCUUCGAAAGUUUAAAAUCGCAUAAACGUCAAAAUAUGACGGAUAAGCGAUAUCAAAAAAUUCAACAAAAAUUACAUGAAUCGCGUCAUUCUCCAUUCGUUCAUUCAUUUUGCGAUUUCAAAACGAUCUUACUAUGUAGCUUGGGUUUUAGUGCCAUGUGAAUCGCAAUUUGACAACUCGUUCGUAAAAAUCUGAAAACGAGAUGAAAGCGACGGGGUUUUUUGUGACACGAAUCACCUUCC